rnacentral:rRNA from 1 species
GGUUGAUCCUGCCAGUAGUCAUAUGCUUGUCUCAGAGAUUUAGCCAUGCAUGUGUAAGUUCAGCCAUAUUAGGGUGAAACUGCGCAUAGCUCAUUAUAUCAGUGGUCAUCUACAAGCUUGUUAAAUUAAAGGGAUAUCCGUGGCAAUUCUACGCUUAAUACCUGCCUAUUCCCGAAUUUUUUAGUUCGCUUGAUGACCCGCUUGCGGGCCUUGCUCUCGAUCCACUGCCCUAUCAACUUCCGAUGGUAGUAUAGAGGACUACCAUGGUUUCGACGGGUAACGGGGAAUCAGGG